rnacentral:lncRNA from 1 species
UGUUCUCAGUGGUCUGUCACGCUUUCAUUGGCUCAGCAGAAGCAAAGAGCACCUGAUGGCAGCUCUUCCAGCUGAUCGUAUCCCAAAGGAUCCAGAUUUCACACGUAGAUGAGAUCUUCUACCAUGUGCUUUUAGUGACCGCAUUCAUUGUUCACCACUGCACUGCCAACUACAGAAUCACAGAGCACUGCUGUCUUUUACAGACCUAAAACCCUAACCCUCCCCAGUGAACUGCAGUACCUCACUACAAGCUAAACCAGCGCUGCUCCCUGCGCUAGCGUCGCAUGCUGGAAGCGAAGGCAGCUGACUCAGUAGGUGCAGCUGAGCUCUGUAAUCUCUCUCAGAAUGUCUUCCAGGAGCAGAACAGGUUGUGUGAGAACAUGACCCGGCUGAGCUGCACCAAUUAGAACAGUUGGAAUUCCAAAAUUCUGUCUCAACUAGAGAAACAGAUGAGACAAAAUGUCUGUUAAAGGCAACCAAAAGAACACUGAAUGAAGUGCAGAUAGAAUGUAAAAUACUAUUAGUAACCAGGUGAUGACUAGAUAACAUGUGUUCAAUUCUUCCCAAGCUGUCAGAGCAUGAGAGGUUAAUAAGCUAAAACCACACCUGCUGUGUUUCUGGAAGAUCUCUAAAUACCUGUACUGUCUUGUUGUCAACUGGCAGCUGGCUGCAGAACGCAGCACUCCUUGUCUGCACUGUGUGUCUAAAGACAAGCCCAAAAUGGAUUAGCUGGGAGAGGAUAAAGUUGUGUUUGUUGUUUUGCCAAAGUUAAUGUGCCUUUGGACUGGGGUUAGAACUCCUGGGUAUCUCCAGCAUGCAGCCAUCAGCAGGAAAUACAGCCCAUGUUCAAGGUGGAUCACCCCUCUGGGACUUCUCAUUUCUUUCAGUUAGGGACGGUCUCCUGCAAAUCUUUGGUCCCUUAAGCAAUGCUCACAUCCUGGAAAUAUCAGAAGAGAUAAGAGGAACAUCGUGUGGUGUUUUGAAGAACACACAUGAUUCACUAUCUGGUAAUGCAAACGCUUUGCAGGGCUGCAGAUCAUGGUAUGUGGAUGUCCUCAUUUAUCUGCUGGUAAGGAAGCGUGGUUGUAGCCUUCCUCACACAUGA